rnacentral:rRNA from 1 species
UACGUAGGUGACCAGCGUUGUCCGGAUUUACUGGGCGUAAAGCGCACGUAGGCGGAUUUGUAAGUCAGGGGUGAAAUCCCGGGGCUCAACCUCGGAACUGCCUUUGAUACUGCAAAUCUCGAGUCCGGAAGAGGUGAGUGGAAUUCCUAGUGUAGAGGUGAAAUUCGUAGAUAUUAGGAAGAACACCAGUGGCGAAGGCGGCUCACUGGUCCGGUACUGACGCUGAGGUGCGAAAGCGUGGGGAGCAAACAGGG